UACGUAGGUGGCAAGCGAUACUCGGAAUCACUAGGCGUAAAGCGCAGGUAGGCGGCUUGAUAAGUCUUUUGUGAAAGCUCCUGGCUUAACUGGGAGAGGUCAAAGGAAACUGUCAGGCUAGAGUUUGGUAGGGGAUACUGGAAUUCCAGGUGUAGCGGUGAAAUGCGUAGAUAUCUGGAGGAAUACCGGUGGCGAAGGCGGCAUCCUGGACCGGCAUUGACGCUGAGGAGCGAAAGCCAGGGGAGCAAACGGG
rnacentral:rRNA from 1 species